rnacentral:rRNA from 1 species
GACGAACGCUGGCGGCGUGCUUAACACAUGCAAGUCGAACGGAAAGGCCCUGCUUUUGUGGGGUGCUCGAGUGGCGAACGGGUGAGUAACACGUGAGUAACCUGCCCUUGACUUUGGGAUAACUUCAGGAAACUGGGGCUAAUACCGGAUAGGAGCUCCUGCUGCAUGGUGGGGGUUGGAAAGUUUCGGCGGUUGGGGAUGGACUCGCGGCUUAUCAGCUUGUGGGUGGGGUAGUGGCUUACCAAGGCUUUGACGGGUAGCCGGCCUGAGAGGGUGACCGGCCACAUUGGGACUGAGCUACGGCCCAGAGUCCUGCGGGAGGCAGCAGUGGGGAAUAUUGCACGAUGGGCGGAAGCCUGAUGCAGCAACGCCGCGUGCGGGAUGACGGCCUUCGGGUUGUAAACCGCUUUCGCCUGUGACGAAGCGUGAGUGACGGUAAUGGGUAAAGAAGCACCGGCUAACUACGUG